GGGGAUGAUCGGUUUCGACACUGCCUGCAAAACCGCGAGAAGCGGGUCGAGGACGCACGGUUAACUCGUUAACGCUCCGCGCAAAACACAAGUGCCAAUUCCAAUAGCACUGUCUCUGCCAAGGCAGACCUCGCCCUCGCGGCGUAGUCUCCUCAGCAACUAAUGAGACCGUCAGGCCGGGAAUGCUCUCUACCCGGAUCCUGGCGUCAUCCAGAGAGAUUGCUGCGUUCCUGAGUCUCAGGGGCACGCGGGACUUAAACUGAGGCUGGGCCUGUUGACCUGGAUGCUCGUGGCAAGGGUCAGGGCCGAGUAGAACGCUUUACGAGAUACGCCCGUAGAAGGCGUGGGAUUACAGCAGUGGACCGGGGUUCAAUUCCCCGCAUCUCCACCA
rnacentral:tmRNA from 1 species